UACGAAGGGGCUAGCGUUGCUCGGAAUCACUGGGCGUAAAGCGCACGUAGGCGGAUCUUUAAGUCAGGGGUGAAAUCCCAAGGCUCAACCUUGGAACUGCCUUUGAUACUGGGGAUCUCGAGUCCGGAAGAGGUGAGUGGAACUGCGAGUGUAGAGGUGAAAUUCGUAGAUAUUCGCAAGAACACCAGUGGCGAAGGCGGAGCUCACUGGUC
rnacentral:rRNA from 1 species